UACGUAGGGGGCGAGCGUUGUCCGGAAUCAUUGGGCGUAAAGCGCGCGCAGGCGGUCCUUUAAGUCUGAUGUGAAAUCUUGCGGCUUAACCGCAAGCGGUCAUUGGAAACUGGAGGACUUGAGUGCAGGAGAGGGAAGCGGAAUUCCAUGUGUAGCGGUGAAAUGCGUAGAGAUAUGGAGGAACACCAGUGGCGAAGGCGGCUUCCUGGACGAUGACUGACGCUGAGGCGCGAGAGUGUGGGGAUCAAACAGG
rnacentral:rRNA from 1 species